GAUGAACGCUGGCGGCGUGCCUAAUACAUGCAAGUCGAGCGAACAGACGAGGAGCUUGCUCCUCUGACGUUAGCGGCGGACGGGUGAGUAACACGUGGAUAACCUACCUAUAAGACUGGGAUAACUUCGGGAAACCGGAGCUAAUACCGGAUAACAUGUUGAACCGCAUGGUUCAACAGUGAAAGACGGUCUUGCUGUCACUUAUAGAUGGAUCCGCGCCGCAUUAGCUAGUUGGUAAGGUAACGGCUUACCAAGGCAACGAUGCGUAGCCGACCUGAGAGGGUGAUCGGCCACACGGGAACUGAGACACGGUCCAGACUCCUACGGGAGGCAGCAGUAGGGAAUCUUCCGCAAUGGGCGAAAGCCUGACGGAGCAACGCCGCGUGAGUGAAGAAGGUCUUCGGAUCGUAAAACUCUGUUAUGAGGGAAGAACAAAUGUGUAAGUAACUAUGCACGUCGUGACGGUACCUAAUCAGAAAGCCACGGCUAACUACGUG
rnacentral:rRNA from 1 species